rnacentral:rRNA from 1 species
AUUGAACGCUGGCGGCAUGCUUAACACAUGCAAGUUGACCGAGUGGCGGACGGGUGUGCAAUGUCUGGGAAACUGCCUGAUGGAGGGGGUUAACUACUGGAAACGGUAGCUAAUACCGCAUACCAUCGGAUGUGCCCAGCUGGGAUUAGCUAGUAGGUGGGGUAAAGGCGCACCUAGGCGACGAUCCCUAGCUGGUCUGAGAGGAUGACCAGCCAACCUGGAACUGCGACACGUUCCAGACUCCACCGGGUGGCAGCAGUGGGGAAUAUUGCACAAUGGGCGCAAGCCUGAUGCAGCCAGUCCGCGUGUAUAAAGAAGGCCUUCGGGUUGGAAAGUACUUUCAGCGGGAGGACGUUACCCGCAGAAGAAGCACCGGCUAACUCCGUGCCAGCAGCCGCGGUAAUUC